GAGUUUUGAUCAUGGCUCAGGAUGAACGCUAGCUACAGGCUUAACACAUGCAAGUCGAGGGGAAACGACAUCGAAAGCUUGCUUUUGAUGGGCGUCGACCGGCGCACGGGUGAGUAACGCGUAUCCAACCUGCCCACCACUUGGGGAUAACCUUGCGAAAGUAAGACUAAUACCCAAUGACGUCUCUAGAAGACAUCUGAAAGAGAUUAAAGAUUUAUCGGUGAUGGAGUGGGGAUGCGUCUGAUUAGCUUGGUUGGCGGGGUAACGGCCACCGAAGGCUACGAUCGAGGUAGGGGUUCUAGAGAGGAACGGUCCCCACAGUUGGACUGAGACACGGUACCAACGUCCGUAGGGAGGCA
rnacentral:rRNA from 1 species